rnacentral:rRNA from 1 species
UUGUGAUGUGCUCUCAAAGAGACGAGUUGUGUGGGAAUGCAGCUCUAAAUGGGUGGUAAAUUCCAUCUAAAGCUAAAUAUUGGCGAGAGACCGAUAGCGAACAAGUACCGUGAGGGAAAGAUGAAAAGAACUUUGGAAAGAGAGUUAAACAGUACGUGAAAUUGUUGAAAGGGAAACGCUUGAAGUCAGUCGCGUUGGCCGGGGAUCAACCUUGCUUUUGCUUGGCGUACUUUCCGGUCGACGGGUCAGCAUCAAUUUUGACCGGUGGAUAAAGGUCAGGGGAAUGUGGCAUCUUCGGAUGUGUUAUAGCCCUUGGUCGCAUACAUCGGUUGGGAUUGAGGAACUCAGCACGCCGCAAGGCCGGGUUUUUAACCACGUACGUGCUUAGGAUGCUGGCAUAAUGGCUUUAAUCGACCCGUCUUGAAACACGGACCAAGGAGUCUAACAUGCCCGCGAGUGUUUGGGUGGAAAACCCGGACGCGUAAUGAAAGUGAAAGUUGAGAUCCCUGUCGUGGGGAGCAUCGACGCCCGGAUCAGACCUUCUGUGACGAUCCCGCGGUAGAGCGUGUAUGUUGGGACCCGAAAGAUGGUGAACUAUGCCUGAAUAGGGUGAAGCCAGAGGAA